UCCGAGUUGACCCCGGCAGUCUCCUACGAGUCCCCACCAUUACGUGCUGGCAACAUAGGACGAGGGUUGCGCUCGUUGCGGGACUUAACCCAACAUCUCACGACACGAGCUGACGACAGCCAUGCAGCACCUGUGUUCCGGUUCCCUUUCAGGCACACCCAGCUCUCACCGGGCUUCCAGACAUGUCAAGGGUAGGUAAGGUUGUUCGCGUUGCAUCGAAUUAAUCCACAUCAUCCACCGCUUGUGCGGGCCCCCGUCAAUUCCUUUGAGUUUCAGUCUUGCGACCGUACUCCCCAGGCGGAGUGCUUAAUGUGUUGACUUCGGCACCGCGGGGGUCAACUCCCACGACACCUAGUUCUCAUCGUUUACGGCGUGGACUAC
rnacentral:misc_RNA from 1 species